CAAAAUAAAAUUCCGGUUUAUUGUUGGACAACAUUGUUUCACACAUACAUCAAACAGGCCAAAAAAAAUAAACAGCAACUUCAUAGACAAAAAACGGAAAAAAAGAAACCUUUUAUCUUUGGCCUUUUUAACCAUCUCAUACAAACCAACUACUUACAGUACAGCUAAGUACAUACACAAAAAAGUUACUGGAAUGCUCGGAAUAAGAUUGUUUUUUUGUUGUUAUUUUUUUUCUCCUUUGAGAUUAUAAUGAACAUGGUCACACCACAAGUAAAGUCAGAAGUAGGACAGAGGACGCUCCGAAGGCUGGUUUGGUCAUCCGAGAUCAUUAAAAAUGGCUGACCCCUAACAAUACGUACAAAAAUAUAAAAUGUAAAUAAAAAAUACAAACAAAUUUUCCUUUUUAAAGUACUUCUAAGAAAAAAAGCAGGGUCUUAGAAGUUUUGGUUCUUUUUUUCUCCCCUGUUGCAAAUUCACGUUGUGAUUGUGGUUGGGUGGUGAAGAGCGUGUGUCAUCCGCGGGUGGCACUGCCUGCGGUGGGCAGGCGGGCGGACUCUCUACUCGAAGGUGACCACGUUUAGAUUCUGAGACCGGAAGUGGAGGGUGAAUAGGUCACGGAGGCCUACUUUUUUUAAGUUUAACUUUUCCUUUUCUGCUGUCUAGUCAUCCUAAUCGGUCUUCUGCUUCUUGGUGUCAACAUCGUCGUCCUCGUCAUCUUCAGCUGCCCGUUUGCCCGUAGCUGCCUCAGCCUCCUCAUCUUCAUCUCCAUCCUCUUCCUCACCAUCGCCUUCCUCCUCCUCCUCCUCUUCCCCCCCACCUUCCUCCUCUUCUUCAUCUACCUCGUUGUCAGCCUCCUGCUCCCCAUUUUCCUCCUUAGCAUUCCCAUUAGCAGGUGCGUCUCUUCCAUUCUCUACCUCCUCCACAACUUCCUUCUUCUCCUUUAAGUCCUUGGCGGUGAUCUCGGAGCUGGGGUCCACGGCCGCGUCUGACAUGGUGGGGCACGCCGGUGAUCCAAUGCAGCGGAUUAAAAAGGAAGCGAGAGUUCGAGGACUCUAGCGACAAAGCUGCCGCAGUCUGCAGCGGCUGAGGCGCGCG
rnacentral:lncRNA from 1 species